UACGUAGGAUGCAAGCGUUGUCCGGAAUUAUUGGGCGUAAAAGAGCUCGUAGGCGGUUUGUUGCGUCGGCUGUGAAAUCCCGAGGCUCAACCUCGGGUCUGCAGUCGAUACGAGCAAACUAGAGUGUUGCAGGGGAGACUGGAAUUCCUGGUGUAGCGGUGAAAUGCGCAGAUAUCAGGAGGAACACCGGUGGCGAAGGCGGGUCUCUGGGCAAUAACUGACGCUGAGGAGCGAAAAGCGUGGGGAGCGAACAGG
rnacentral:rRNA from 1 species